GUGGAUGCUGUGCUGGAAUGAGGAAUAUUGAAUUCACUUGGCUUUGGGAUACAGUCUUGUUACAUCCGGGUCCUGGAGGCACACAUGCUAUGUAUAUUUGUAACAGAUUCACACACAUGAUUGGGCCAGUAAUCUUGACCACAACCUCCAGGAAGUAUGAACUUAACAUCUGUAAGAAAAGCACAAAUGUUGCUUCUCUGGUUAGCUAUGACUAGUAAUGGCUCCACUUUGCUAGAAGUUCCUGAUGUAACACAUCUUAAUCCAAAAUACGCCUCCCCCCUACCCCCAGUAUAUGGAGAAUAGCUAACAUUCUUCCUUUUCCUCUUAGAAGGUGGAUUAGUACCACCUGUCUCAGCUAACGUUCAUGGGAUUCAGCAGGAAAAACAGUAUUAUGAGGGGAAAGCUUCUUUGAAUGCAGUAUUUUAGGAUUAUUUCUUUGGUUGCUAAACUGCUACCUUUGUAUUGAAAGGUGAUGAGACAUUUUCUGGCUGAGAGACAGAGAUAUCCUAGAAAGGUGUCAAGUUAAAAGAGGGCCGAUGAAAGGACUUGAGCCACAGCCAUCGGAGGAGGGUAUGGAUGGCUGCAAGCCCACAGGCCACCUGUUGAAGAGGUAGGUGCACUUGGUCCUCAGAAUGACAGCUACUCAGUACCAGAUCUCUUUGUCUUCAUUAUUCAUGGAUAAUAAUGAGCUGGGAAAAGUCACAAUAUUCUAUGAAAUAAAUCCUGACACAUGGCUGGUUAAGCUAUUCUGCACCUUGUGGACAUACAGUAAAUGCAUCUUGAUUACCUGGCAAUGAACUCAUUUAGCCGUUUUUUUUUUUUAGCCACAGUUGCUUUAUAAAGAGUACAUUAUCUUUGUCAUUGAGUUUGCUGAGUGAAUCAGUUAGGAUAGGCAAGAUUGUGCUACAGUAAUAAACAUCCCUAAGUAUCAGUGACUAACAAGAAAGGUCUAAUUCUGGCUCAUGCAAAGUUCAUUGUAGAUCUGAAUGUCUCUCCAGCAUGCUAUCUUAUAGGUGGUUGAUCUGAAAUUCACCUUCCUAUCAAUAUGCACUUUAGUGAUUGCCAAAGCAGUAAAAGAGGGAAUUCAAACAAUGGCAGUUAAAAG
rnacentral:lncRNA from 1 species